ensembl:lncRNA
GUUGGAGGAAACAGUGAGAGAAGAGUGGGGCUGCAGAGCUCUUUUCAUCAGAACUGCAACACUGGGUCCUGAGGCCCUGUUGGAGCAUAGCCAGAACCACAAAGCAGCAAACACAGAGGUGCAUUUUCCCUCUUUGAGGAGCAGUGAUAUGGACACCAGGUGUGGUGACGCUAAGAUGUCUGGACUGUUUUCAAGGAGCUGUUGCUGGGUUGGUGGUGGCCAAUUCCCAAAAGUCUGCUGCUGCAAAAAAAAAAAAAAAAAAAGAAAAAGGAAAAAUGAAUGACCCAAGAAAACCCAGAGGAAGGGGGAAAAAGUGUCAUGAAGGCACCUUUUGCAAAAAAUCUGAGCCUGCUUUUGAAAAAUUAGUUCUGGAUGCUAACAUUACACUUUAUACUGACCCAGGUUAUUUAGCUGGUGCCAAUUUGAAUAUAGUUUCAAUCAGACAAAUUAUACCUGCUGUUAAAUUUAACAUUUCUUUAGAUUUGAAUCCACCUGCUAUCAGAUUAGAUGUUUUUUUUUCUCUUCUUGCAGCCUCUCACCCCCCUCAGACACACAAUGAUGCCCUUAUAUUCCUGGCUCUCAAUUUUUCUAUUUAUACCCACUGAGAUGAGCAAUGAGCCCCAGGCAUCCCUCACUCACUAACCAAAGUACACGUUGACUCACACUGGCACAGAAACACAAUUUCUC